CUGAGUCUGAGGACUAUUUCACAGAGAAAAGAAAAACACUUCAAAAGAAUAACUCUUGAACAGAAUCAAAUCGCAGUCACUGGCAAGUGUUUAACAAAAUUACCGGGGGAGCGAAAGUGAAAUCCAUCGAUGUAAUGCUGUCUAUGCAGCAGCCAUAGCACGAACCGUGACCCUGCAUCGCAGCUGUGGUCCCGAGCACUGUCUGGCAGGAGCCAACACGAAACGUCGCUGACACAGAGGACAGUCAGGCAUAUGAAUCUAGAUGGGGAAGACAAAAUGCAGUCCUUCAGAGCACCAGCUCAGCCAAUGAGGACAAAGGUAUCACACUUUCAGACAGAAGCUUAUUGUACAAGUGACCUGAGC
ensembl:lncRNA